rnacentral:pre_miRNA from 1 species
GAGACACCCUUAUGGGGCAGGACUUGCUUCAGGGGGACUUUGGUGCUCACUGAGUCUGCCCCUUGAGUGUGUUGCU